UUGACCUCAAAUCAGGUAGGACUACCCGCUGAACUUAAGCAUAUCAAUAAGCGGAGGAAAAGAAACUAACAAGGAUUCCCCUAGUAACUGCGAGUGAAGCGGGAAAAGCUCAAAUUUUGAAUCUGGCAGUCUUUUAUGGCUGUCCGAGUUGUAAUCUAGAGAAGCGUUUUCCGCGCUGGACCGUGUACAGUUUCCUGGAAUGGAACAUCAUA
rnacentral:rRNA from 1 species